rnacentral:tRNA from 1 species
UAGAAUAUGGUGUGAUGUGGUAGCACGGAGAUUUUUGAAUUCUCAGGAAUAGGUUCGAUCCCUAUUAUUCUAG